GACAGAGGGGGCGAGCGUUGAUCGGAGUUACUGGGCGUAAAGCGCACUCAGGCGGCCGACCAAGUGAGGUGUGAAAGCCCCGGGCUUAACCUGGGGAGGGCACGGGAAACUGGGCGGCUGGAGUUUGGGAGAGGAACGUAGAAUUGCCGGUGUAGCGGUGAAAUGCGUAGAGAUCGGGAGGAAUACCAGUGGGGAAGGCAGGGUGCUGGGCCAAGGCUGACGCUGAGGCGCGACAGCGUGGGGAGCGAAUCGG
rnacentral:rRNA from 1 species